GCCGCACUUCUUCCUGUGAUUCAAGCGCCUCUGGCAACUCCUCCACCUCCACGCCUCCAUCUGCCUCCAGCCGGAACCCAGCCUCGCCCCCCUCUGCUCGUUGAGGCCGUCGGGAGAUUCCAGUCGCUAGCCUCUUUUGUCGCGAGGAUUUUUGGCUGUAGACUUUCGUAUUCGAUUUUAUGUCUUUAGGCACUUAUGAUGUGGGUUCUUGUAUUGUGGACUUUAUAUCGACUAUUUGGGUUUGCUACUUUUGUUUUUCCGCUGCAGGUGUUUUCAUUACUUCGUGGAUUUUAUUUCUUCGUUGUAGUAGAGUAGGAUUUAUAUAUAUCUACGAUGAUUUCUUUAUCGUCUUUUCUUUUAGUUA